UCCUCUUCUUCCCUCUCCGCCGCCUAGGUUAGCCCCACGCGCCUCGCUGUCGCCCUGCCCACCAUGACCCGAGCGAGCAAGAGCUCAAGCUCGGGGUAGCCGUCCACGUCACGCCUCCGACCCACCUGUUGCCGUCGAGAGGACCGUCAAGUACCUCUCUGCCCUCUUCUGCACGCACGCACCUCUACAGCCCUGGAUCGACUACCACAACGACAUCUUCUCCCUCUGCUUCGCGGACAGCAGCCCCACCAAGUUCAGCGCUCCCUUGCGUCAUCUCCGGCUCGUCUCCGUCGACCCCAUCGUGUCCUAGGGUGAGCUGAUGGCACUCUUGGACUUCCAAGUUGAGGCCAGGUUCUGAUGUGGACAUAGCUAUCAUAGAAACGUCUACAAAUAUUACAUCACAAAUUAUUAACCAGGAAUAAAAGAAUAAAAGAAGCAAGAGACUACUAUGCCUUAAAACCAGAUGGAGCAAUCCAUGCAUGCAUGCGCUCCAUCAUCCUUGCAUGCAUGCCCGCCGAACCAUCCAUUACACCCCAUCCAUCAUCGAUGUCACGUGGAGUGCACAGGAAACAAAGGCCUUUUGAUUUGAAUCCGUUGAUCAGUAUCAGCGACUUGGGCCAUGUAUUGUGGGCUGCGCCAAGUCUCCUCACGUCAGGGCCUGCAGCUUCGGCCUUUGUACUGUCCAACUCGUGCACAACUUCCUUCGAUCAGCAGACCGGCUGGAACACAUCUACGUACUCGUUUGCGUUUGUACCUCUUUAAUAAAUAGCUAGUCUAGGUUAGGGUUUAGACUUGGGUUUUGUUUAGAGAAGUUUAGCUAUUGCUACUUUUAUUUGUCUUCGCUCGUAGAGGCUAGUGCGACCGUCAAGACAUCCUAUCGGAACCCCAUCU